rnacentral:tRNA from 1 species
ACUUAGCUGGCUCAGUUGGUAGAGCAUGUGACUCUUGAUCUUGGGGUCAUGAGUUUGAGCCCCAUGUUGAGUA